UCCAUCAAGUUGUUCUUCAAUGGCUGCCUCGAGUUUACUGUCUCUACCAAACUUUGUUAUCUCAGACAUGGAUAAGUCUCGGAUGACCAACAAUGCUGUGACCCGCUAUGGAAGAAUAUCUUAGGCUUAGGCCCUGUUCGUUUGCUCACCCAGGUGAUCCAUAUGGGUGAAGAUGCAAAUUGAUGUUCGUUUUGUACAUUAUAAUGCUACAUCCAGAUGUAUUACACAGCUGAAUUUUUAAAAAUUCAUCUCAAAUUUCCACCCAAAUGAAGGUGAGUCUUGAUGGUGCAUCUGGAUGCAGAUGCAGAUGCAUCUAGUUCAGUCCAAAAUGAUAAAUGACAAAAAUGACCUUUUAAAAUCAAAAUAUUAUUUUCAAACUGUAAAUUUCUAUUUUUUGCAUACAAAUUUUCCGCUAUAACCAAAAAAUGCAUUUUCUUGCAAAAACUGAAAAACACACUUUUCUGCCAAAACCGCAAGAUGCAUUUUUCUGCAAAAAACAUAAAACACAUUUCAUAAAAACACAUUUUUCGGUUAAACCAGUAAAACAACACUUUUCGACCAAAACUGAAUUUCCCGCCAAAACCCAAAAAACGCAUAUUCCCGCCAAAACUCCAAAAAGCAUUUUCCGGCCAAAACCGCAAAAAGCAUUUUCUCGCCAAAACCGGAAAACACACAAUUUUCCCGCCAAAACUGAAAAAACGCAUUUUCUCGCCAAAACCGGAAAACACAAUUUUCCUACCAAAACCGGAAAACUGAAUUUUCCCGACAAAACUGGAAAAAUGCAUUUUUCCGCCAAAACUGAAAAACAUAAUUUUACCACCAAAACUAGAAAAUGAAAUUUUCCCGCCAAAACCGGAAAACACAUUUUCCCGCUAAAACCGGAAAAUGCAUUUUCCCGCCAAAACCGGAAAAACGCAUUUCCCGCCAAAACCGUAAAAAUGCUUUUCCCGCCAAAAUCGCGAAAAAAAAUUUCCCGCAAAAAUCGCGAAAAAAACUUUUCCCGCCAAAAUCGUGAAAAAAACUUUUUCCGUCAAAAACAUUUUUCUCACCAAAACUUCAGAACACACUUUUUCCGUCCAAACCGCAAAAACAUAUUUUUUUCGCUAAACCCAUAAAACGUAUUUUUCUGCCAAAACCAUAAAAAUGCACAUUUUCACGAAAAACACAUAUUUCCUCAAAAACCGCAAAAAUAUUUUCGGCCAAAACCGUAAAAAUGCUAUUUUUCCGCUGAAACGAAAAAAUUUAUAUUUUAGUCAUUUUAUUAACAAGUCUAUCUUGAUGCAAAUGAAAUUUAAAAAAUGAAAAGCAAACGAACAUAGUUGCAUUCAGAUGGUUCAUCUGGAUAAGACAUCUAGAUGGACCAUCUGGAUGCAUCUUCUAGAUGUACAAACGAACAGGGCCUUACACAAACAAAUGAGCCUCUAUGGAUCAGAACAGAUGGAUGCCUAGACAUUCUCAAUCUCAAAAGCUACGAGAGUGCAUUCCCAAUUCCCAAGAUUAAGUAGUCGUGGAGGAAAGAACCACAA
rnacentral:lncRNA from 1 species